UACGUAGGGGGCUAGCGUUGUCCGGAUUUAUUGGGCGUAAAGAGCGUGUAGGCGGCCAUGUAGGUCCGGUGUGAAAACUCGAGGCUUAACCUCGAGAUGUCAUCGGAAACCAUUUGGCUAGAGUCCGGAAGAGGAGAGUGGAAUUCCUGGUGUAGCGGUGAAAUGCGCAGAGAUCGGGAGGAACACCCGUAGCGAAGGCGGCGCUCUGGGCCGGUACUGACGCUGAGGAGCGAAAGCGUGGGGAGCAAACAGG
rnacentral:rRNA from 1 species